UCUAAACUGUUAGGCAGUGGCCUCAACUAUUGAUGUGGCAAUAUCAAGAUAUUUCUGACUGUCACAACAAGAAGAUUCAGUUAGCAUUCAUCAACGGAAAGAUGGCAGCGUGCCUUCUCCAUCAGGACUUGGUCAUCAUUCUGCUAUUCAUGAACAGAUGCCUUACGCACAUCCCCAAGUAAAUUUCAAAAACAAUAAUAAAUAACAGUGGACAAAGUGACUAUUGCCUAAAAACAAAAUUUCUGGAAGUCCAUCUGUGAUGUGCGGCACUUAGACAAGAGUAUCACCUGGGGAAGAUGACAGGAUUUGCAAGCAGAUAGUAACAGAAAAAUGAAAGAUCGUUCAUGCCCAUGAGAGAUUUGGAUAUGUUUGCCACGUAAAAAGAACAUGCGAUUUCCCUGUGUUGAUUUCAUCCUGGAGUCAUCUUUACGGAUUUCUUCUGGGAGUGAAUAAUGUUUUCUGUGUGUUUUUAGACUAAAGUAAAUUAGUCUUUUCAUCCAAAA